GCACUGAUGAAGAGUCCCAUACUAGGACGAAACGGUCGUUCAGUGC
rfam:Schistosoma haematobium scaffold425_26, whole genome shotgun sequence.